AAAAAGGAAAAGGAAAAGAAGGGGAAAAAAGAAGGGAAAAGAAGAAGAACGCAGUCUCUCAACUGCUAGCCCACGAUCUCCAUAUAGAUGGAAACUGCCACAUCAACGUCGGGUACAAAUGGAACAGACGAAGCAACGAAAAAGGAACAAAAUGAAAGAGAAAGAAAUGAAGACGAGCAGAGCAAAAUCAAAUUCAAAAGGAAGAGUAAAUUGAAAUCGUAUCGGCAAGGUGGGAGCAAUCUUUUUUACGCCGCUCAGCGAUUUCGGUGGCGAUUCUGGUAAGUAAUUUAUGGGUUCUUUUUACGUUCCAUUGAUUGGGGAUUUGUCUUUGGGAUCGGAAUUUACCUUUGAUUAAAGCUACUCAUACGGGUGGAACAAAAGCAUAUCGAUGCGGACAUGUUUAUUCACGCGUUAAGACCGGUAUGCUUCUGCAUUUCUUCGUUCUAUUCAUGUAUUGUGUUUUGAUUUUGAUGUAUUACACUUGCAGAGGAGCUGUCUGAUUUUUGCACAGGUUAUUUCAUUCACAUCGUUGAUUGGUGUAGGAUUAGAUGCUCUAAAACGGUAUACUUGGUCAUGUAGAGGCUUCCUGUAAACUAAUUCAAAGAUUAGGACCAUAUUGUUUUCAGUGCCACUCUAUUAACUUAUCUACAUUGAAAAUGAAUAUUUCCCACUGUAUGGAUUGUUUUCCCUGAUUUGUUUUGGUACCAGCUAAAUUGUGUCUUCAUCUAUAUAUCAGCCUUUAAAGUGAUAAAUUCAAGUCCAUAUAUGCAGGAGUGAACAAAGGAUAGGACAUAUCCGCCACUUCGUUCACUGACCCUCAUAUACCAUCGUAUUUCUGAACCAUAUGAACUGUAUCAAUGGGAAUUUUGUAAGCUAAGGAGAAUCCGUUUUUUAUGAUAUCAAUCGGUAGUUGAGAAGUUAGUAAGAGGGAACUAACAAUUGAUGUCUACUAUAUAACUGGUGCGUUGGUAGUGGGUGAUUAACUAACAAUUUUUAGUUAAGAGAUGAAUGACUUCCUUUACUUAUGUUGUUUUGUUGUCUUGAUGUUGCUCAUGUCUAUAAGUGCUUUAUCAAUCAGAUAAAUAAUUUUCAAUACAAGCAAAUAUUGAAAUAUUGAUAUAUAUCACUAGCCUUAGAUAACCAAUGUGUGAUGAUCAACAGGUAGUCCCCAAAAGUUGCCCACUUUCGGCUGCAAUUCUUAAUUAUUUCUAGAAUGAAUGUUUCUCUCUAUAACUUUCUUUUGCGUUACUCGUCAUGUGUACUACAUGUCUCAAUUGAUACCGUAUAUUAUGUUUUCAGCAGAUAAUGGGGAUGUAUUACAAGUCUCUUUUGAUAAGUUUGGUUGGACAAGCAGAGAAAAAUCAAACAAUGAUGGUAAAUAUUAUUAUCAAUAAGGUGAUCGAUGGAAAGGUGAAGAUUGGGGAUAUUAGUGUCAGCCACUUUUUUGAGAAAACUAUUUCAUGGAGUAGAACUGAAAGCAUAUCAAGAAAGACUUUAAUUCUCAGUUUCAUCAGCAACUUAGCUCGACCAUUUGAGUGUUCAUAGACAAUAGUGUUUAAUCAGUACUCUCUUUGAAAGUUUGCUGGUGAUGGAAGAUACUGAAAAGGGUUUAUUGGAUGAAAUAGCAGACCUGGACAGUGUGGCACUAAUUAUCAAUUUAAGUUGAUGUAAUAUGCAAGAUCUAAAUGCAACUGAAGUGUUACAGAAGCCAAAGGAUGAUCACUCUUCAAGUCUUGCAAUUUCAGUUUCAACAAUGCCUUCUCAUAUUUGUUUAAGAUUUUGUAAAUAUUCAUAGUCUGGAAGAUUACUAUGUAAUUUGUUUGGAAGAAAGAUAUGCAUCCAAAUACCCUUUAUUAUGUUGGGAUGAAAAACAUGUGAAUCAGUAAAAUUAAAGAGAGACGUGUGACCAAAUAGGCUUUCUUUGUGCUCACGUAAACAUUGAAGAUAAGAUUCAAUAAAAUGAUCUUCAUAUC